GCAUGAGCGCACUUGGCUGGUUUUAAACAGCAGUUUCCCAUAAUUGAAUAAUCUCAAAAAACUUCUUCUUUCAUAGAAUGAGAAGGAGAGGAGGAGGAGGAGGAAGAAGAUUGGCGAUUAUUAGGAGGAGAGCAAUGUUAGGGAGGAGCAUUAGUGAGGAGGAGGAACAACGUUAGAUAUGUACUCUGAAUUGAAGAAGAAGAAGAAGAA
rnacentral:misc_RNA from 1 species